rnacentral:pre_miRNA from 1 species
AGUGGGAUAGCUGGGUUAAAUGGUAGUUCUAUUCCUAGUUUUUUUGAGGAAUCUCCAUACUACUUUCUAGAGUGGAUACACCAAUUUGUAGUCCCAUGAGCAAU